rnacentral:rRNA from 1 species
CCUACGGGAGACAGCAGUAGGGAAUAUUGCUCAAUGGGGGAAACCCUGAAGCAGCAACGCCGCGUGGAGGAUGAAGGUUUUAGGAUUGUAAACUCCUUUUGUUAGAGAAGAUUAUGACGGUAUCUAACGAAUAAGCACCGGCUAACUCCGUGCCAGCAGCCGCGGUAAUACGGAGGGUGCAAGCGUUACUCGGAAUCACUGGGCGUAAAGAGUGCGUAGGCGGGGUAAUAAGUCAGAUGUGAAAUCCUGUAGGUUAACUACAGAACUGCAUUUGAAACUGUUACUCUGGAGUGUGGGAGAGGUAGGUGGAAGUCUUGGUGUAGGGGUAAAAGCCGUAGAGAGCAAGAGGAAUACUCAUUGCGAAGGCGACCUGCUGGAACAUUACUGACGCUGAUGCACGAAAGCGUGGGGAGCAAACAGGAUUAGAUACCCUUGUAGUC